GGCAACAGAGCAAGUCGUCGAUCUACUAAGCGAGCUGGACACACACAGUUUACUGUGGAAACAACAGCAUGCAUCUCGAUUGAUGUAUGGCCAGUCGACGGGAAUAUGGAGCCAUGAGUCUGUCCAUAUGAAUUGCAAACAACAUGGAUCUAGGAUAUGGUGGUAAUGGUGACCCAGCAGAGUAGCUGCCACUACUGGAGAACUCUCUAUCGGUUCGGAACAUUAGUAUCGGUUAACAAUAGCCUCGGUACUAAUUAUUAGUAUCGGGUCUUUAAAUUUGAUUGUCCCAGGAGACCCUUUUGUACCGG
rnacentral:lncRNA from 1 species